GUUAAUGGUAAUGAAAUUGAAUCUUCAGUCUUCUUUAUUAUUAAUAUUUGAAUCAAUACGAUUGAAGAAAAUCAAAAAUGAACAUUUCUUUUUAUAUUUUGUUACUUUUUGUUGUCUCAACUUACGCUGGUAAACUUCAACCGAGACCUUUGGAGUUGGAAUCAACCAAACGAAAUGUGGAUUCUGGCAUUCAUGCUUCUGGAAUCCAAUCCAGUUCAAGUCUUAACUCUGCUAAUUUAAGGAAGACCAGAUCGACUAGCAAUCCCUGAUUUUAGAACCUUACUCAUCAAACGAGAAAAAGAAACCUGUUUCUCUAAGUUCCCUGUUAAAAUGUGCAUCCCAGGCCAUCAUGCUUCACAAACUGAAUCUAAAGAUGUUGAUUUGGUUUGUAUAGCUGCGAACUCACAUCCACUUGUCCAUCUUUGGGCUAAAGAAGUUGAAAAACGUAUACUUUAUGAAGUUGCGGAUCUUUCCGCGACUGAAACUUAUACAUACACUUCACCAACCAAGUGCAGCAGUUAAGGAAUCAAUUUUAUAAAUUAAAUGUUCUUUUCCUUCUUCUUU